GACCUAAAGGAACGUUUAAGACGAAGACGUUGAUAGGCUGGGUGUGUAAGCGUAGCGAUACGUUGAGCUAACCAGUACUAAUGAACCGUGAGGCUUAACCUG
rnacentral:rRNA from 1 species